UGAUAAGCCAAUACAUGUCAAAACACGUUCAGUUCCUUUUUCUUUGGAAGAAACGGUCAACAAAGAGAGACAUUUGAACAUCAUCUCAAAGUACUUGACGAACUUUUUCAGCGUCUACGUAGCGCAGGCCUAACUGCUAAACCAAGUCUCAUUGAUCAUUCCUGUGUAGUAGUGUAGAGAUGGCGGCCCGUACCAGUCACAUCUCAUUGUCUUAAACGCAAGACGGACGUGUAACCUCUUCGGCACGGGAGAGGGGGAAGUGUAAUCUCUUCGCACUGGAGAGGGGUGACUGAGCCUCCUUAGCGGCAAGAGACUGUAGUGUAACCCAAACACCGUUUGGAACCAUAGAAUACCGGCAUUCGAGGGACAGGGACGACCACACACCAAAGCAGUUUAUUUUGUUGUACAAUAUUUUGUUAAUUAAAAUGUAAAGUUUAAAUGUAGAAAAGAUUUUCUGUUAUUUAUCAAAGAGGAGUUUGGAUCACUAUUCUCUAC